GAAACGCUUGUGCUCCCAGACUGAGCUAAUCAGGUUCCUUCUUUCAAGGUGGUUGAAUUUGGUUAAUGUAAUGAAUGUGUUUGUUGAAUGCGAAUGCGUAAUCAAAGUGGUGGAAAUUGCUUAAUGUAAUGAAUGUUGAAUGCGAAUGACAAAAGUUACAAAUGAUAAGCGUUGAAAAUGAUGAGCGGGAAGAAUAAAGAGUAAAAUAAUUUAUGACACCCAAUGUGGGAAUCGAACCCACUACAGGAAACUGGCUCGGGUUGACGUUGCCAUUAAGAAUGAAUGGGGGAUUUUAAGGCACAAAUUUGCUAAUUACUUAAAAACGGUAAAUGUUAUGAACAAAAAAAAUGGUAGCAAGCAUGACAUGAAUUUUUGGAACGUGUGAAAGUUUGAACGGGGUGAAUCGGUUGAAGCAUGUGGGAGUAGUUAGAUGCCAAAAAAGUGGGAGGAAUAAGUUGUUUAAUAA